GAUUACAGCCAUACCACCCUGAACAUACCCGAUCUCAGCAGAUCUCAGAAGCUAAGCAGGAUUGGGCCUGGUUAGUACUUAGAAGGGAGAAAGGAAGGCGAAUAGUGAGAU
rfam:Erinaceus europaeus unplaced genomic scaffold scaffold00399, whole genome shotgun sequence